rnacentral:lncRNA from 1 species
AUGAUUGGCUGGAUUCAGAAGAUACCUCCUAACCAUCUUCAGAAUGUCUCUUCCCCAUGCGAUCCUGAAAGUUGUGGAGGAGUGGAGCAAGUACGAGGAAGACUGGUUGGUGGAGCUAGGAGCUUGGAGACCAGUCUUAAGCUGUUUCAAUUUAAUUGGGAGACUGCAGAGGCAGAAGCUAGUGGAAAAAUGGAGAUAGACAAAAAGACAGAUGAUCAAUGAUGGACGUUGAUCCUCUCCAGCUAGAUCCUGUACUUCUUUCUACAGAUAUAUGGGCCUUCUUUUAGUUUUUUAAAGACUUCCAGAUCCUUCCUUCCUCAGUCUUGCAGAUUCUAGUUUCUCUUCCUGGAAGUCUGUUUCUGGCCCUCUUCACCUAGUAUCACCACUCAUUUUUUAGGCCUCACUUUCAAUGUCAUGUCUUCAGGGAAACCUCUCUAACCAACCUCUAAAUGGAUCAAGUCCAUCCUGCUUUAUUCUCUUAGAGUUACACAGUAUUCCC